rnacentral:tRNA from 1 species
GCCAGUCUGGUGCAGUGGUUUGAGCCUUGGACUAGGACUCUGGAGACCAGGGUUCGAUUCCCAGCUCAGCCA